rnacentral:rRNA from 1 species
AACCUCCGCAAUGCGGGAAACCGCGACGGGGGGACCCCGAGUGCCGUGGCAACGCCACGGCUUUUCCGGAGUGUAAAAAGCUCCGGGAAUAAGGGCUGGGCAAGGCCGGUGGCAGCCGCCGCGGUAAUACCGGCGGCCCGAGUGGUGGCCGCUAUUAUUGGGCCUAAAGCGUCCGUAGCCGGGCCCGUAAGUCCCUGGCGAAAUCCCACGGCUCAACCGUGGGGCUUGCUGGGGAUACUGCGGGUCUUGGGACCGGGAGAGGCGGGGGGUACCCCUGGGGUAGGGGUGAAAUCCUAUAAUCCCAGGGGGACCGCCAGUGGCGAAGGCGCCCCGCUGGAACGGGUCCGACGGUGAGGGACGAAGGCCAGGGGAGCAAACCGG